rnacentral:lncRNA from 1 species
GUCCCGGCAGGAGCACCAACUCAGGCAGCUUGGAGGAAGAGUCACUCAUCCUCCCCACAGAGUAUGCUCUGGAGCCGGCCACAGCCCUCUGACGACCGCCUACCUUCACACCAUGGGUUCACUGAAGCCAAGUCUUCUAGCUCUUCAUCCUCAAACCAUUCUGACAACUUUUUCAGGAUGGGCAGCAGUCCUCUUGAGGUCCCCAAACCCAGGUGAGGAACCUCAAGGGGUUAGGAGCCUGCUGCAAGAUGCGGCUGGCCUUCCUCCAUCAUCAAGGUUGGAAGUGGGCUGUCUCACAUUUAAGUUAGCUGGUUGAUGGGGGUAGCUGAAGGACGUGUGUGCUUAGCAGGCUCACUCUUUUGAGGGAUUCGUUGCUGUUGGGGCACAGAGACUUCACUGGUUUUUAAAAACAUUUGUAAUCGUUUCCUGGAAUGCUGUGCAAUACAUGGGUACACAAACAUGA